UCUUCCCAAACAGGUUAAGAUUGGGGUAGAUGUUGCUUCUAGGUGCUCCCCAAAUGCCUUUUGCCUACAUUUACUGUAGCCCUGUAGAUUCUGGGUUGAAGCUGCCUAUUGUUUCCUGAGUCUCCAACUAAUGUGCAUGCUCCUUUGGGCCAUGACUUAACCUUGUUCACUCUUGUCUACCCAGUAGUUAGCAUAACGCCUGGCACACAGAAAAUGCACAGGAAGGCUCUAAUGAUUUGUACAAGAUUACAUGGCUAAUGGGUGGCAGAUCUGGGUUGAAAACCAGAUCUGUCUGCCAGUGGGGCAUUUAUUUCCCACUGUGCUGAGAAAGAAAUCUGCCCUUCAGAUACACACUCAUCCAAACACAGUUUUUAAAAUCCAGUCUCAAGGGUAUUCACAUGGUACACAUUGACACUCUGUUAAAGACAGACCCACAAUGAAAGUAAAUUAUUAGAAAUUCUUCCACUGAAGUGUGACAAAAGCUGGCACCACAUGUGGUGUUUAUACCGCAGGGCGGCUUUGGCCCAGGAAUGGGCCCCAGUGUGAUUCUCAUGCAAUGGAACAAUAAUAAUAGCUCUGAACCAGCCAUUUGGAAUGAAUAGAUCACGGAUGAGCUGCACAAAUGCAUCUUGCUCCUACCUAACAAUGUUAUUUCAUAGAACGCAUCCAAAAUACGAUUGUGGUGGCAUUACAGACCGCUGCAGCUGGGCGAAGAAGAAAAGAGAACUCAACAAUGGUCGCCACAGCUGUGCAGAACGUUUGAUACUCUCGUCAACAGCUCCUGCAGCUGGGCCGAAUGCAUUUUACAUCCUCUUUGAAAAAGAAAGAGAAAAUUCAUAUUUAUGGAAUAUCAAGUAUGCAUCAGGAUGAUGUCAGAUGCUUUCCUUUAAUGCUCACAGCAAACUUUGGAGCAAGAGGUAUUACCUUCAUUUUUGCCACUGGGAACAAUCUAUCUUUGGGGAAAUAAAGUGAUUUGUACUAGAUUUCUGAUAGAAGUU
rnacentral:lncRNA from 1 species